UUUUCAUCGAAGAACACGCAAAGGUUAGCAGGGGCUACCUCACAGCAUCCAGGCCAACCGGCUCGCCUGUGGAGUCCUUUCAUGACCCAACACAGCCCAGCACCACAGAUUUUCAAGGGUCAGGUGGUGUGUUUUGUUCACCCUAAAGCUAACUGGGCUUUCCUUUCAUCUCAAGUGGAGCUUCUGGAGAAAAUCUGAAUCGUCAAACCUUCUCAUCCUCUGGAUGGAGCGUCCAGGUAUGGUUUGUCUCCAUGAAACACACGACCGUUUUUCAGUCUGACUUUAAUCACAAACGUCUUCUCUUGUUUUGUUUUUUUUAAUUAGGGUUAUUACACAAAUGAACCUGUUCACUGAAUCUGCACCUCACACUGCUUCAAAAUGUUGAAUAUUUGAAGGUGUCAAUUUCGGUGACAUAAUUCAGGUGUGUGUUUAAUGUGUAUGUUUUAUGCACGUGUUUCAGGCGUCUGUUUGAUGAUCAUGACUCAGGAAUGUGUAUCAGAAAUGCGUUUCAGGUGUCCGUGGCCCGGGACUGCAGUCACCUGCUGACUGCAGGUGAUGUAAGCUCUUCAUUGAUGGAGAUGUUGACUUUUAACUGCAGCUGCAGAACCACAAUAGAAAUGGUCGGGUCGUGUGUCUUUCAAAGUAAACAGCUGGAUCCCUAUAAAGGCUUUUCCUCGGCUGAGGCUGAAGCACUCGGCCAUGGCGGCUCUCCGGAUGCUCGUUUUCCUGACGUUUGGCAUUCCAGGCACUCAUCUCUCAAACUGCUCAUAUUAUGGUCUGCUGAACUAUUUGAACCUUACAACGUCCAGUCAAGUUCUCCAGGUCAUGAGACCCGUGCACAGCUGGAACCAAACCUCAAAAGUCUCCUUAGACAUGGUGAUGUAUGGCAUCAUG